rnacentral:rRNA from 1 species
AAAAUUUAAGUUUUUGUUGUGAGUUUUGUAAGGUAGGUUUGUUUAUAAUAUUUGGGAUUGUUUAUAGUUUAAAAAAUAUUUAGUAAUAUUUGCAAGUUAGUAUUUUUGAUAGAAAUUUUUAAUUUUAAACAUAGUUAAUAAGUACUGUAUGGGAAUAUUAAUUAAUUUCUUGGAGUGAAGAGUUUAAUUCUUGUACCUUUUGUAUCAGGGAUUUUUUAUAUAGUUUAUAUAUUUAUAAGUAUCUCGAAAUAGAGUGAGCUAAUUUAUAAAAGAUGUUUAUGUGGAAUAAUAAAAUUUAAUUGUAAAUUAGUGAUGAGAUGUUAAACGAACUUUAUAUAUCUAGUUGCUUUUUAAAUAAAUUUAAUUUAGUUUUUGUAGAUAGGUCUAUAAAAAAAAUUUUUAGGGGGAAUAGCUUCUAAAAAAUUUAGUAUAAAAAUAAUAGUAGAGUAUUUAAAACUAGGCUUAGAAUCAGCCGUGUUUUUAUAACGUUUUAGUAAAUAUGUUAGGGAAGGUUGUUUUUUUAUAAGGGUUUUACUUAGCUUAGGGGGCUAAUUAUAAAAAUAUUAUUUAUUUUAAAAUAAUGAUUAUAUUAGUAGAGUAAUUUUAUUAAUGUUUAGUAAUUUUAACUAGUUAGAAUAAUUAUUUUAAUUUGUUUUUGUUAUGUUUAAGGAACUCGACAAACAAUAUAUUCACCUGUUUACCAAAAACAUGUCUAUUAAAAGUUUUUUAAUAGUCUGGCCUGCCCACUGAUAUUAUAAAGGGCCGCGGUAUUUGGACCGUGCUAAGGUAGCAUAAUCAAUAGUCUUUUAAUUGAAGUCUGGAAUGAAUGGUUGGAUGAAAUAUAGGUUGUCUUGGGCUAUAUGGGUUGAAUUUUACUUUUAAGUGAAAAGGCUUAAAUGAAAUAGGGGGACGAUAAGACCCUGUGAAGCUUUAAUGUUAUUAGGGUAUUUAUUGGAUAAUAUAUUUGUGAUUAUUUUUAUGUUUUAAUAAUAUUUUAUUGGGGCGAUUGGAAUAUAAUGUGUAACUGUUCUUUUAUAAAAAUAGUAAUUUUUAGAGCGUUGAUCUUUAAUUUAGGAUUAAAAGAUUAAAGUUACUCCAGGGAUAACAGCGUAAUUCUUUUUGAGAGUUCUUAUCGACAAAAGUAUUUGCGACCUCGAUGUUGAAUUAAAAGUUUCUCCAAGGCGUAGAAGUUUUGGUUGUAGGUCUGUUCGACCUUUAAAAAUUUUACAUGAUUUGAGUUCAGACCGGCGUGAGCCAGGUUAGUUUCUAUCUUUUAUUUAGUUUUGAAUCAUUUUAGUACGAAAGGAGAUGGUGAUUAGAAUAAUUUUUUCUUAUUAGGUGAAUUUUAAUUAUUUU